rnacentral:rRNA from 1 species
UAGCUAGUUGGUGGGGUAAGGGCCUACCAAGGCGACGAUCGGUAGCUGGUCUGAGAGGAUGACCAGCCACACUGGAACUGAGACACGGUCCAGACUCCUACGGGAGGCAGCAGUGGGGAAUAUUGGACAAUGGGGGCAACCCUGAUCCAGCAAUGCCGCGUGUGUGAAGAAGGCCUGAGGGUUGUAAAGCACUUUCAGUGGGGAGGAGGGUUGAUAGGUUAAGAGCUAAUUAACUGGACGUUACCCACAGAAGAAGCACCGGCUAACUCCGUGCCAGCAGCCGCGGUAAUACGGAGGGUGCGAGCGUUAAUCGGAAUUACUGGGCGUAAAGGGUGCGUAGGUGGUUGAUUAAGUUAUCUGUGAAAUUCCUGGGCUUAACCUGGGACGGUCAGAUAAUACUGGUUGACUCGAGUAUGGGAGAGGGUAGUGGAAUUUCCGGUGUAGCGGUGAAAUGCGUAGAGAUCGGAAGGAACACCAGUGGCGAAGGCGGCUACCUGGCCCAAUACUGACACUGAGGCACGAAAGCGUGGGGAGCAAACAGGAUUAGAUACCCUGGUAGUCCACGCUGUAAACGAUGUCAACUAGCUGUUAGUUAUAUGAAAAUAAUUAGUGGCGC